rnacentral:lncRNA from 1 species
UGUAACGAAGCAUUUCGGACCAACGAGCCUUGUAGCGACAUCUUGUGGUUUCUGACGAUAUAACGUUGUUUUUAUAUUUUACCCGCAGGAAAUCACAGAUGGCGCUGCAGGGUUAUCGAUGGGCCCGAAUAUUUUUGAUUAUUUUAUUUUCUUCUAAAUUAUUAUAUUAAAAUUAUCUGCAACAUUUAUUUUUGAUAUAUUAUAAUUAUAUUGUUUAAAUUUUGGGAUCAAACAAGUCGAUCGAUUGUUGUCGUUGAUUCGGCGAAUUUAUGGUUUGGUAGAUUUUUUCUAGUUUGGCAACUUUGUUCGUGGUUCUUGUGUCAGACUGACAGCUGGCUGAGCUGAGAGACAGGUUAUGGAAAGUGGGGACGUCGCGAGAGCGCCGGAGACUCCACUGCCGUAACAAUAAUGUGGGCAAAUUAAAAGCCACGAUUUAUCGGCGACAUCAAGAGCCGAUGUCUCGAUUUAAAUAAACAACUUAACCGAGAUGGUGAGUCCUCGCAAUUCUUCGUGCAUAUUUUUGCACCAACUUUGUGAUAACCUCGAGGUCCUUGUUUUCAGCAACAUCACUGAAAUCCCAUCGCCUAAGGUCCAGUGGGUGGGUUUAGGUUUCAUCCGAGCGAUGCCCAACUAUCCCGGAUGAACCUAUGGGUUUUUUUUUUCUUUAAGUUUUGAACGUUUUAAUUUUCUAACGUUUUGCAAGUCUUAAUGUAAGAAGAAGUUUAUAAUUGGAUCAGAUGUUUUGUGAAUGAAGAUUCCUACUGUUUUCUUCUGCAUUUGAGAGUUAUUUCAAGCUUCAUUUCGGCGGAGCUUGCCUUGGUUGUUUGCACGUCGAAGCUUUCCUUUGUGCGGCGCGCAUGUGGAUGUGCCGCGCCUCUCCUUUUGCCAACACUCCGGAUAAGGCUCGGUGAAGGACUGCGAGGUUGACCGGUGGACGUGCAGCCCGCCAGCUGCGGAACAGUAGGCCCGCUGCGCCGCCAUCGUCCAGCACGCCCUGGCCUGAGCCGGCCUCAACUCAUCACCUGUACGGUAUUCCAGAACGCCUCAGGUAGGCCUGAUAGUCGGAGGUCCUCGAGUAAGUGAGGUGCCUACAGGUGUACGGACAGUGUUUUUAAACAUAGUGUUAUCCCAUGGUUGUUACGGAGUGACAAUUAACCUGACGGACCAAAGCGCGACCUGUCUCCCUCCAUAGGGUUUUUACCUGCCCAUGGUUGUACUGUAAUAAUUAUAACUGUAAAAUAUACAUUGUACAAAUUCAAA